rnacentral:rRNA from 1 species
UACGUAGGGACCAAGCGCUGUUCGGAUUUACUGGGCGUAAAGGGCGCGUAGGCGGCUUAACAAGUCACUUGUGAAAUCUCCGGGCUUAACUCGGAACGGCCAAGUGAAACUGUCAAGCUAGAGUGCAGAAGGGGGCAAUCGGAAUUCUUGGUGUAGCGGUGAAAUGCGUAGAUAUCAAGAGGAACACCUGAGGUGAAGACGGGUUGCUGGGCUGACACUGACGCUGAGGCGCGAAAGCCAGGGGAGCAAACGGG